UUAAAAAACAAAGAUACCAUGGUUGAUAUUGUUUGAAUGUGAAAUUUCCUCUGCAGGGUUGUGAACUUGAACAUCUGCUCCUUGGCGUGUGGUCCUGUCUUGUCAGGAGGCUGUAGAACUUUUAAUGGAGGCCCAGGAGUUAUCUAUCGGUAGCCUUGCCCAGGUUUAGCCUGCACACACUUCCGCUCCCCACCCCACUCCUGAUCCACCGAGGUUUAAGCAAGCAGAGCCAAGCAAGUUCUUGCCAGCAUGGACCCAGCAUCUUUGAAGGGCUUCUGUGGCUUCCUCGGCAUGAUGGGCUGUACCUUUUCAAACUGUGGAGCCAAAAUAAAAGCUUCCUCCUUAAACUACAGAGAGCCCAGGGGUGAGAACAGUAGUUAACAUGGAUGCCUGGUCCAUGCUGGCCCCAGUGCUGGGCUCUGCAUACUCAGAAGGCAAGAGGAUUCAGCCUUCUGUCUCUGAAAGUUCAUAACAGAGCAGCAGGGCAAGAUGAGUCCUUAAAUCAUGUCAACUGUAAUAGAUGCCAUCAACCCAAGGGGUGCCCUUUAAAUCACCACUCAGGGAGGGCUGGGCCAGAAGUUCAGAGGGCAGACGCGUCCUUCUGACUGCAGCCUAUUGAGGAAGUCUUUGUAACGGCCUUUGAUCUGGGUCUUAGAAAUCAACAACUUUUGAUCACUCGGAGGAACAGAAGAAGUUCGGGUCUGCAGGACUGCAGUGCCCAUGGAGGCCAGAGGACCAGAUGCCCCUGGAGCCAUUGAUCUGUUUGGGGAUAUUUCACAUAAACGGAGUCAUAUGAUGUGUGGUCUCAUGGGAGCAGCUGCUUCCAGAUCGGAUUUAAGGAGAAUACAAAGGAAAAUGAUGAAUAUCGAUUCGGACACAAAAGUAAAUAUUUAGAAAGACUGUGAAAAGAAACCCCAGCAAUCGCUAGAGACUUCUAAGCUGCAGAUUCCUUUCUUCUGAAGUCUCUGGGGCCGUUUCCCAGAAACACUUUCCCUCAUACACUUCCUGAGGUGGCCGGGCCCUGCCUGGAACACAGAACACACAGCUUCCAAAGCUGGGCCCACACAGAUGCACAUCAUGCCUGCUGAGGUAGCCUUCACUUCCUAGAAAACGGACUCUCCCCCCACCUCCUUCCUGCCUCCCGCACCCAGCUCGCAGGCUGCUGUACCUUCCUCCAGCAGCUCAGCUAGCAUGCUUCCUGCCUGUCUCUGGAGGAUCCUCCUCAGGCUCCAGGCUCCACAGUAGCUUCCCUGCCUCGGCCUGUGUCCAGCCUGUGUGUAUAAUAUAGAUUAUAUUGUUAACUGUCAUGUGCUGUUGGAGCUCACCGAGAAACCACCUAUGGAGGUGAGGUUCACCCUCUCACCCCCAUUUCACACCCAAACAUGUGUGUCUCAAACUAUCCUCUAAGGCCCCUUUGUCUGGGGAUGGAAUGGCACCCUAACUCUGUGAAGGGACACAGCAAAGCAGCCAGAGGAUAAAAACAUUGUGUCUUUAAACAACAGCUGGAAGGUAACCAUUCCCAGCAGACAUUGCUAUGUUCAUCCCAUGACAUAAGAGCCAUCUUCAGUAGGCCUCUGCCAGAUGUUGUAACCAUCCGUAUUGUGCUUUUAGUUUUGGUUUGGUUUGGUUUUGAGACAGGAUCUCACUAUGUAGCCCUGGCUAUCCUGGAACUCACCG